AGCGAACGCUGGCGGCAGGCCUAACACAUGCAAGUCGAACGGACCUUUCGGGGUUAGUGGCGGACGGGUGAGUAACACGUGGGAACGUGCCUUUAGGUUCGGAAUAGCUCCUGGAAACGGGUGGCAAUGCCGAAUGUGCCCUUAGGGGGAAAGAUUUAUCGCCUUUAGAGCGGCCCGCGUCUGAUUAGCUAGUUGGUGAGGUAAUGGCUCACCAAGGCUACGAUCAGUAGCUGGUCUGAGAGGAUGACCAGCCACAUUGGGACUGAGACACGGCCCAAACUCCUACGGGAGGCAGCAGUGGGGAAUCUUGCGCAAUGGGCGAAAGCCUGACGCAGCCGUGCCGCGUGGAUGAUGAAGGUCUUAGGAUUGUAAAAUCCUUUCACCGGUGAAGAUAAUGACUGUAGCCGGAGAAGAAGCCCCGGCUAACUUCGUGCCAGCCGCCGCAGUAA
rnacentral:rRNA from 1 species